rnacentral:rRNA from 1 species
UACGUAGGUGGCGAGCGUUGUCCGGAAUCAUUGGGCGUAAAGGGCGCGUAGGCGGAUUUUUAAGUCUGGUGUGAAAUAUAGGGGCUCAACCCCUAGACUGCAUCGGAAACUGGGAAUCUUGAGGACAGGAGAGGAAAGUGGAAUUCCACGUGUAGCGGUGAAAUGCGUAGAGAUGUGGAGGAACACCAGUGGCGAAGGCGACUUUCUGGACUGUAACUGACGCUGAGGCGCGAAAGCGUGGGGAGCAAACAGG